CACCAAGACACCCAGCACUGACCUUGAGGCAAGGAAAAAGUUGCGAGCAGAAAGAUUCGGCAUCACUUUGCCUAUUAAGGUCAUUAAACCUACAACGGUCUCCACCAAGACACCCAUCACUGACCUUGAGGCAAGGAAAAAGUUGCGAGCAGAAAGAUUCGGCAUCACUUUGCCUGUUAAGGUCAUUAAACCUACAACGGUCUCCACCAAGACACCCAUCACUGACCUUGAGGCAAGGAAAAAGUUGCGAGCAGAAAGAUUCGGCAUCACUUUGCCUGUUAAGGUGCGUUGAAAAAUGAAGUUUGACCAGACGUUUGAAGUCCCUAGAAAAUUCGAGUUUACGGACAUGAUAUCGGAUAAAGCCACAUCACUAGACAUUCCUGAUUUAAAGUAUAACUGGUGUGAACAUUACGGGGAUAUCGGAAGGUCGGAGGACCGAUUAGUGAUUAUAAGGUGGCUAAGGAGUGAUGAGAAUGACCCUCUUAAGUUUCUUCGAAUGAUCGGGGAACACGGAUUCCAUCCGGACACAAGGGUAUGCGGUGUAUACCCUAAGGAGAGAGAGGGUAAGACAAAACCUUGCCUUUUCGGACUUAUGCCCCUAAAAAGGAGAUUGUAUAUUGUGCUAACCGAAGCUUUAAUUGCAAAUUUCAUUUCAUCUUGAAAUACUUCCUUGAAAUCACAAUGAGCUUUGAACCGAGUACUUUGAUGACACGAAUGAAUAAUGUAACUAAAAAUCUAGGAUUUGAGUCAGCGGAGAACCAAGUCCAAAUCAUGACCAACAUCGAUUUUGAGAAGUGGAACUCCAACAUGAGAAAGGAGGAAACACUUGAUAUGUUAACUGACUUUGAUGAUCUCUUUGGUCUCAAAAAUGCAUUCUCUCGAUCUAAUGAUGUGUUCUCAGAGUGUCAAUUCUACUUAGCUGAUGGAUCCAUCACGCCCAAGUGGAAAGGAGAUAGAAUGGUAGAAGAUUUUGGCGUUUGGGAUCAUCA